rnacentral:rRNA from 1 species
UACAGAGGUCCCGAGCGUUGUUCGGAUUCAUUGGGCGUAAAGGGUGCGUAGGCGGCGGGGAAAGUCUGAUGUGAAAUCCUGGGGCUCAACCCUGGAACUGCAUUGGAUACUUCCUUGCUAGAGUACUGGAGAGAAAACUGGAAUUUACGGUGUAGCAGUGAAAUGCGUAGAGAUGCGGAGGAACACCGAUGGCGAAGGCAGCCCCCUGGGCUAACACUGACGCUGAGGCACGAAAGCGUGGGGAGCAAACAGG